rnacentral:rRNA from 1 species
AUUGAACGCUGGCGGCAGGCUUAACACAUGCAAGUCGAGCGGUAGCACAGGGGAGCUUGCUCCCUGGGUGACGAGCGGCGGACGGGUGAGUAAUGUCUGGGAAACUGCCUGAUGGAGGGGGAUAACUACUGGAAACGGUAGCUAAUACCGCAUAACGUCGCAAGACCAAAGAGGUGGACCUUCGGGCCUCUUGCCAUCAGAUGUGCCCAGAUGGGAUUAGCUAGUAGGUGGGGUAAUGGCUCACCUAGGCGACGAUCCCUAGCUGGUCUGAGAGGAUGACCAGCCACACUGGAACUGAGACACGGUCCAGACUCCUACGGGAGGCAGCAGUGGGGAAUAUUGCACAAUGGGCGCAAGCCUGAUGCAGCCAUGCCGCGUGUGUGAAGAAGGCCUUCGGGUUGUAAAGCACUUUCAGCGAGGAGGAAGGUGGUGAGCUUAAUACGUUCAUCAAUUGACGUUACUCGCAGAAGAAGCACCGGCUAACUCCGUG